GAUGAAGAACGCAGUGAAAUGCGAUAACUAAUGUGAAUUGCAGAAUUCAGUGAAUCAUCGAGUCUUUGAACGCACAUUGCGCCCCCUGGUAUUCCGGGGGGCAUGCCUGUCCGAGCGUCAUUGCUGCCCUCAAGCACGGCUUGUGUGUUGGGCUCCGUCCCCCCGGGGACGGGUCCGAAAGGCAGCGGCGGCACCGAGUCCGGUCCUCGAGCGUAUGGGGCUUUGUCACCCGCUCUGUAGGCCCGGCCGGCGCCAGCCGACAACCAAUCAUCCUUUUUUCAGGUUGACCUCGGAUCAGGUAGGGAUACCCGCUGAACUUAAGCAUAUCAAUAAGCGGAGGA
rnacentral:misc_RNA from 1 species